AGAGUUUGAUUCUGGCUCAGGAUGAACGCUAGCUACAGGCUUAACACAUGCAAGUCGAGGGGCAUCAGGAAGAAAGCUUGCUUUCUUUGCUGGCGACCGGCGCACGGGUGAGUAACACGUAUCCAACCUGCCCUUUACUCGGGGAUAGCCUUUCGAAAGAAAGAUUAAUACCCGAUAGCAUAAUGAUUCCGCAUGGUUUCAUUAUUAAAGGAUUCCGGUAAAGGAUGGGGAUGCGUUCCAUUAGGUUGUUGGUGGGGUAACGGCCCACCAAGCCUUCGAUGGAUAGGGGUUCUGAGAGGAAGGUCCCCCACAUUGGAACUGAGACACGGUCCAAACUCCUACGGGAGGCAGCAGUGAGGAAUAUUGGUCAAUGGGCGCUAGCCUGAACCAGCCAAGUAGCGUGAAGGAUGAAGGCUCUAUGGGUCGUAAACUUCUUUUAUAUAAGAAUAAAGUGCAGUAUGUAUACUGUUUUGUAUGUAUUAUAUGAAUAAGGAUCGGCUAACUCCGUGCCAGCAGCCGCGGUAAUACGGAGGAUCCGAGCGUUAUCCGGAUUUAUUGGGUUUAAAGGGAGCGUAGGUGGACUGGUAAGUCAGUUGUGAAAGUUUGCGGCUCAACCGUAAAAUUGCAGUUGAUACUGUCAGUCUUGAGUACAGUAGAGGUGGGCGGAAUUCGUGGUGUAGCGGUGAAAUGCUUAGAUAUCACGAAGAACUCCGAUUGCGAAGGCAGCUCACUGGACUGCAACUGACACUGAUGCUCGAAAGUGUGGGUAUCAAACAGGAUUAGAUACCCUGGUAGUCCACACAGUAAACGAAGAAUACUCGCUGUUUGCGAUAUACAGUAAGCGGCCAAGCGAAAGCAAUAAGUAUUCCUCCUGGGGAGUACGCCGGCAACGGUGAAACUCAAAGGAAUAGACGGGGGCCCGCACAAGCGGAGGAACAUGUGGUUUAAUUCGAUGAUACGCGAGGAACCUUACCCGGGCUUAAAUUGCAGUGGAAUGAUGUGGAAACAUGUCAGUGAGCAAUCACCGCUGUGAAGGUGCUGCAUGGUUGUUGUCAGCUCGUGCCGUGAGGUGUCGGCUUAAGUGCCAUAACGAGCGCAACCCUUAUCUUCAGUUACUAACAGGUCAUGCUGAGGACUCUGGAGAGACUGCCGUCGUAAGAUGUGAGGAAGGUGGGGAGGACGUCAAAUCAGCACGGCCCUUACGUCCGGGGCUACACACGUGUUACAAUGGGGGGUACAGAAGGCAGCUAGCGGGUGGCCGUAUGCUAAUCCCAAAAGCCUCUCUCAGUUCGGAUCGAAGUCUGCAACCCGACUUCGUGAAGCUGGAUUCGCUAGUAAUCGCGCAUCAGCCACGGCGCGGUGAAUAAAAUCCCGGGCCUUGCACA
rnacentral:rRNA from 1 species